rnacentral:rRNA from 1 species
GAAGCUUCGAACCCAAGUCCCGGUGAAUGUCGGCCGUAACUAUAACGGUCCUAAGGUAGCGAAAUUCCUUGUCGGGUAAGUUCCGACCUGCACGAAUCGUGUAACGAGUGGGCCGCUGUCUCGAAGAGGCGCUCGGCGAAGUUGUAGUGGCGGUGAAGAUGCCGCCUACCCGCAGUAGGACGGAAAGACCCCGUGCACCUUUACUGUAAGCUGUCGCUGGAUUUUCGUUCGGAAUACUUAGCGUAAGUGGGAGACGUUGAUCCUUGGGUUUCGGCCUAAGGGGAGUCGCCAAUGAAACACCACCUUUUCUUCAUGAAGAUUCUAACCCUUGCCCGUGAUCCGGGCGGGGGACCACGGCAGCGGGUCAGUUUGACUGGGGCGGUUUCCUCCUAAAGAGUAACGGAGGAGUGCUAUGGUUCCCUCAGCAUGGUUGGCAAUCAUGCGUCGAGCGUAUGGGUAGAUGGGAGCCUGACUGCGAGACCUACAAGUCGAGCAGGGACGAAAGUCGGCCCAAGUGAUCCGGUGGUUGAAUGUGGAAUCGCCAUCGCUCAUCGGACAAAAGGUACGCCGGGGAUAACAGGCUGAUCGCGCCCAAGAGUUCAUAUCGACGGCGCGGUUUGGCACCUCGAUGUCGGCUCAUCGCAUCCUGGGGCUGGAGAAGGUCCCAAGGGUCCGGCUGUUCGCCGGUUAAAGCGGUACGCGAGCUGGGUUCAGAACGUCGUGAGACAGUUCGGUCCUUAUCCACUGUGGGCGCAGGAAAUGUGACGGGUUCAUUCCCUAGUACGAGAGGACCGGGAAUGACGCACCUCUGGUGUUCCGGUUGUCGCGUCCGCGGCAGCGCCGGGUAGCUAUGUGCGGAAGGGAUAAGCGCUGAAAGCAUCUAAGCGCCAAGCCCAUCCGAAGAUGACAUUUCCCCAUUAGGGACGUGGUAGACCACCACGUUGAUAGGUCGCAAGUGGAAGCACGGUAACGUGUUGAGCUGAGCGAUACUAAUUUCCCGAUUGGCUUGAUCUC